CGUAGGGCGCAAGCGUUGUCCGGAAUUAUUGGGCGUAAAGAGCUCGUAGGCGGCUUGUCGCGUCGGACGUGAAAGCUCAGGGCUUAACCCUGAGUCUGCGUUCGAUACGGGCAGGCUAGAGGCAGGUAGGGGAGAACGGAAUUCCCGGUGUAGCGGUGAAAUGCGCAGAUAUCGGGAGGAACACCGGUGGCGAAGGCGGUUCUCUGGGCCUGUACUGACGCUGAGGAGCGAAAGCGUGGGGGAGCGAACAGGAUUAGAUACCCUGGUAGUCCACGCCGUAAACGGUGGGCGCUAGGUGUGGGGACCGUUCCACGGUUUCCGCGCCGCAGCUAACGCAUUAAGCGCCCCGCCUGGGGAGUACGGCCGCAAGGCUA
rnacentral:rRNA from 1 species